CUACGGGUCGCUCCAGUUAGGAAUAAUCUGCAAUGCGCGAAAGCGUGACAGUUUGAGCCAGAGUGCUUUCUUAUAGAAAGCUUUUGCUAAAUGUAAAAAGUUUGGCGAAUAAGGACUGGGUAAGACUAGUGCCAGCCGCCGCGGUAAUACUAGCGGUCCAAGUCGCAGCCAUCUUUAUUAGGUCUAAAACAUCCGUAGCUUGCUCAAUAAGUUUUUUGUGAAAUUUUAUGUCUUAAACAUAAAGCGAGCAAAAAGUACUGUUGAGCUAGAGACUGGGAGACGUAAAGAGUAUGUUUGAGGUAGCGGUAAAAUGUUUUAAUCUUAGACAGACUAACAAUAGCGAAGGCACUUUACGAGAACAGAUCUGACAGUAAGGGAUGAAGGCUAGGGGCGCAAAACGGAUUAGAUACCCGCGUAGUC
rnacentral:rRNA from 1 species